UACAGAGGUCUCAAGCGUUGUUCGGAUUCAUUGGGCGUAAAGGGUGCGUAGGCGGCGCGGUAAGUCGGGUGUGAAAUCUCGGGGCUUAACUCCGAAACUGCAUUCGAUACUGCCGUGCUUGAGGACUGGAGAGGAGACUGGAAUUUACGGUGUAGCGGUGAAAUGCGUAGAUAUCGGGAGGAACACCUGUGGCGAAAGCGGCGCACUGGACCAUAACUGACGCUGAGGCGCGAAAGCUAGGGGAGCAAACAGG
rnacentral:rRNA from 1 species